CUGUGCUAAACGGGGAGUUAGCGGUGCCUUGUACCUGCAAUCCGCUAUAGCAGGGUCUAAUUCCUUGAAUAAGGCUUUGAUUUGUGGGGUCUGCCCUUUAAAUGCUGGUGUUGAUAAUUGGGUCCCACGCAAUGAAAAAUCAUGAACCCCGUCAGAUCCGGAAGGAAGCAGCGGUAAGUGAAACUUUUCGUGUGCCGUGGAUUAACCUGAUUUGAGCCAACUUUAAAGGUAACGCUCAUAAAUUAAUGUCGAGUUCGAGGUGCACAG
rnacentral:SRP_RNA from 1 species